AUUGAACGCUGGCGGCAGGCCUAACACAUGCAAGUCGAACGGUAGCACAGAGAGCUUGCUCUCGGGUGACGAGUGGCGGACGGGUGAGUAAUGUCUGGGAAACUGCCUGAUGGAGGGGGAUAACUACUGGAAACGGUAGCUAAUACCGCAUAAUGUCGCAAGACCAAAGAGGGGGACCUUCGGGCCUCUUGCCAUCGGAUGUGCCCAGAUGGGAUUAGCUUGUUGGUGAGGUAAAGGCUCACCAAGGCGACGAUCCCUAGCUGGUCUGAGAGGAUGACCAGCAACACUGGAACUGAGCCACGGUCCAGACUCCUACGGGAGGCAGCAGUGUGGAAUAUUGCACAAUGGGCGCAAGCCUGGUGCAGCCAUGCCGCGUGUGUGAAGAAGGCCUUCGGGUUGUAAAGCACUUUCAGCGGGGAGGAAGGCGGUGAGUUUAAUAAGCUCACCGAUUGACGUUACCCGCAGAAGAAGCACCGGCUAACUCCGUGCCAGCCGCCGCCGUAA
rnacentral:rRNA from 1 species